GUUAGGAUGGACGCUGUUGGUGCUCUGGCCGCCGUUCGCAGCGGCCAGGUUAAACGGGAAGCAGGAAGGUCGUCGCCCACAGGCGUCAACCCAACCUGCGCUGCCCCCGCAACGGUAAGCGGACGUGGCCGAUCCUUGACGGGUGAAGCCGCCGCUCCUGUGUCUGACGCCACUGGCCGUGUCCACGGUCGGGAAGGCCACAGGGGUUGUCUCCGCCAGCCCGGAUACCGGCCAGCAAGGUGGUGUGUCG
rnacentral:ncRNA from 2 species